CCCUCAUUUGUGCUGCAGGCAGAAUAGUAGUCCGGACAAGGCACAAAACAGCAUCGGGACUGAAAAGGUCACUGAACCAUGCCCUCACAGGCUACAACACAGCUCCAGCCGGAUCUCAUCAGUGGACCAUUGUGUCACCUGGGAAGACCUACAUUGUAGCGGAUCCAUUAUCACAGCUCACAGCUGGUAGAGAGACCAGAGUGCAGAUGCCUCCCAGGCAGCAUGUUGAUAUAAGACAAUGACCCCAAACACACCUCCAGGCUGUGUAAGGGCUAUUUACCAAGCAGGAGCGUGAUGGAGUGCUGCAUCAGAUGACCUGGCCUCCACAAUCACCUGACUUCAACCCAAGGUGUUAUGGUUACUACAUGAUUCCAUGUGUUGUUUUAUAGUUUUGAUGUAUUCACUAUUAUUCUACAAUGUAGAAAAUAGUAAAAAUUGAGAAAAACCCUUGAAUGAGUAGGUGUGUCCAAACCUUUGACUGGUGCAGUAUAUAUAUUUACUGAACAUCAAUAUAAACGCAACAAUUUCAUUGAUUUUACUGAGUUAUGAGGCUUUUUGUAAGUACCGCCAAAUUCUCUAAAACGACAUUGGCUUAUGGUAGAGAAAUUAACAUUAAAUUAUCUGGCAACAGCUCUAGUGGACAUUCCUGCAGUCAGCAUACCAAUUGCACGCUCCCUCAAAACUUGAGACUUCUGUGGCAUUGUGUUGUGUGACAAAACUGCACAUUUUAGAGUGGUGCACCUGUGUAAUGAUCAUGCUGUUUAAUCAGCUUCUUGAUAUGCCACACCUGUCAGGUAGGUGGAUGGAUUAUCUUGGGAAAGGAGACAUGCUCACUAACAGGGAUGUAGACUAGUUUGUGCACAACAUUUGAGAGAAAUACGAUUUUUGUGUGUAAGGAACAUUUCUGGGAUCUUUUAUUCCAGCUCAUGAAACAUGGGGCCAACAGUGUACAUGUUGCGCUUAUAUUUUUGUUC
ensembl:lncRNA